rnacentral:rRNA from 1 species
UACAGAGGUCCUAAGCGUUGUUCGGAUUCACUGGGCGUAAAGGGUGCGUAGGUGGCCGAGUAAGUCUGACGUGAAAUCUCCAAGCUCAACUUGGAAACUGCGUCGGAUACUAUCCGGCUAGAGGAUCGGAGGGGAGACUGGAAUACUUGGUGUAGCAGUGAAAUGCGUAGAUAUCAAGUGGAACACCAGUGGCGAAGGCGAGUCUCUGGACGAUUCCUGACACUGAGGCACGAAAGCCAGGGGAGCAAACGGG